AUUGAACGCUGGCGGCGUGCUUUACACAUGCAAGUCGAACGGUAACAGGCCGCAAGGUGCUGACGAGUGGCGAACGGGUGAGUAAUGCAUCGGAACGUGCCCAGUCGUGGGGGAUAACGCAGCGAAAGCUGCGCUAAUACCGCAUACGAUCUAUGGAUGAAAGCGGGGGACCGGAAGGCCUCGCGCGAUUGGAGCGGCCGAUGUCAGAUUAGGUAGUUGGUGGGGUAAAGGCUCACCAAGCCAACGAUCUGUAGCUGGUCUGAGAGGACGACCAGCCACACUGGGACAGAGACACGGCCCAGACUCCUACGGGAGGCAGCAGUGGGGAAUUUUGGACAAUGGGCGCAAGCCUGAUCCAGCAAUGCCGCGUGCAGGAAGAAGGCCUUCGGGUUGUAAACUGCUUUUGUACGGAACGAAACGGCUCUCACUAAUACUGGGGGCUAAUGACGGUACCGUAAGAAUAAGCACCGGCUAACUACGUGCCAGCCGCCGCCGUAAAAC
rnacentral:rRNA from 1 species